rnacentral:rRNA from 1 species
AAUGAACGCUGGCGGCGUGCCUAAUACAUGCAAGUCGAGCGAACAGACGAGGAGCUUGCUCCUCUGACGUUAGCGGCGGACGGGUGAGUAACACGUGGAUAACCUACCUAUAAGACUGGGAUAACUUCGGGAAACCGGAGCUAAUACCGGAUAAUAUAUUGAACCGCAUGGUUCAAUAGUGAAAGACGGUUUUGCUGUCACUUAUAGAUGGAUCCGCGCCGCAUUAGCUAGUUGGUAAGGUAACGGCUUACCAAGGCGACGAUGCGUAGCCGACCUGAGAGGGUGAUCGGCCACACUGGAACUGAGACACGGUCCAGACUCCUACGGGAGGCAGCAGUAGGGAAUCUUCCGCAAUGGGCGAAAGCCUGACGGAGCAACGCCGCGUGAGUGAUGAAGGUCUUCGGAUCGUAAAACUCUGUUAUUAGGGAAGAACAAAUGUGUAAGUAACUAUGCACGUCUUGACGGUACCUAAUCAGAAAGCCACGGCUAACUACGUG